GGGGACGUUACGGAUUCGACAGGGAUGAUCUGGGCUUGAGUCGCGCGUCGGAGGAUCGGCUCCGUCACCAACGUAACUAUAGUAACUGGCAAAACAAACCAAAACCUAGCAUUCGCAGCGUAAGCUCGGAUCUGCUUUAUCUAUCCAUCGCCCAUGUGGCUGGGUAAAGCUCAACUUUAGUGGGAUACGGCCUGCAGUGCCAUUUGAGCUGCCGGCAAGAGAUUCUCAAAUUAGUGCCCAGGACGCCCGCUUAUUGGCAGAAUGGCGCAUGAAAUUCCAAUAAGUAAGCUACACGCGUAGACGCUCAAGUAGCGGAGUUUCUGGACGCGGGUUCGACUCCCGCCGUCUCCAUUU
rfam:Planomicrobium glaciei strain CGMCC 1.6846 genome assembly, contig: Ga0070170_106